UACGUAGGGUCCGAGCGUUGUCCGGAAUUAUUGGGCGUAAAGGGCUCGUAGGCGGUUAGUCGCGUCGGGAGUGAAAACUCAGGGCUCAACCCUGAGCGUGCUUCCGAUACGGGCUGACUAGAGGUAUGCAGGGGAGAACGGAAUUCCUGGUGUAGCGGUGGAAUGCGCAGAUAUCAGGAGGAACACCGGUGGCGAAGGCGGUUCUCUGGGCAUUACCUGACGCUGAGGAGCGAAAGCGUGGGUAGCAAACAGG
rnacentral:rRNA from 1 species